ensembl:lncRNA
UAUAUAUAUAUAUAUAUAUAGAUAGAUAUUAUUCCUACGUUAUGUUGUUACAUAUUAUAUAGAUUACUGUGUUACUUUAUAUUACAUACAUAAACAUGUAAAUAAAUAUAUAACCUAUGUCCUACCUAUUAGGUCUGCAGGUUUGAAAUAUGGCUUACCAUAUAUUAUUUAUUUAUAAAUAAAGUAUAAAUUACUCACUUACUUAUACAUUUGUAGCAUUUAAUAAUCACAAACACGGUCGCAUUUUAAAAAAAUAUUAUGCUACUAAUUACACUGUUAAUAAUAAAAUAUAAGUGAGCGCUACUCUGGAUGCUACACCACACCACCAAAUAAUUCUCAUCCAGGGGACUUCAGCUAGUGUCUGUGACCUGGGGAGACUAGAGAGGCAGAAACCAGAACGCCAUCCUGGUACGAGUGUCAAAACGAAGACCAAAAAAAAAAAAGGAAUGUUGCACUGACGCACCGAAAUCACCGUUUUAUUGAACUUGAUUUACUUUUUCCAUUUUAAGAACGUUAAACCAUUUAUCCACCAGCGUCGUCUUUAAUACAUCUGAACGUACAAACUCCCAGCUGAACUACACGCCAUCUUUAACUUUUAUCUCUGCGGGAUGCAAAUCGUGGCACGGAGGAACAUGGGCACCCUGCUAACGUGUCAUCCAGUCUCGGCGAGUACAAUGACGUGUGGAGAUGUGUGACGAAUGAAAGGGAAAACCAACACCGCGCAUUAUAGUGAGGUGUUAGAUCAGCAUAAGCUGCCCGAACAGCUUCGGUGCACCUUGGCGUCGAUGGACACCGUCAGGAAGCGCGCCGUUCUGCCUAAAAACAUUCCCUCGGCUGGUUUUCACGAUGGUGGUGGAGUCACUCUAAAACCUAUUCGACCGGGUUGACAGCUAGUCACUGUAGCAUAUGAUUUACAUAAUUUUCAUCCUUAUUAAACCAUUCAGUGAGCCCUUGUGCCAUGGGUAUGGGGCAGGGUCAUCAUGGAAGAUACCACGCCCAUCCGGAUAGAGACGUUUCAUCGUAACCGGAAUCAGUUAGAAGAACUUUGGACUGAUUUGCAGCAACGCUUCAGUCCAAGACGAUAGGUGGAGCAGCAAAAUACAUAAACACUCCCUACAUAACAUCUCAGUGCCACAGGAUUGUUUUUCCUUUCGUUCGUCACGUUUCAUGUUAAAGAUAUCCCAAACGUACAACUGCUUCGACUCUACACGACCACUAUUAGUUCUCGCAACGGCACGAGGAAUGAGAAUUACAGCUGCGUUACACAUUUCGACACCUUUCGAGUAUUUCAACUAUGCGUGUUCAUGUGCUUUACUGAGCAAGAAGGACAAUUACUCACGGACGUCAACAUGAGCAGAACCGUACUAAAAUAUUAAAGCCUGUUAUUAUCUGUGAAUAACAACUCAUGUUUAAACACUAGUCAAGUAGGUUUUAUUGUCAUUCCUCUCGUCACAGACAAGACGCCCGCCUUAGACUUCCACUGAUUAUGCUGAGACCAGAUGUACGCAAUCGUGAAAAAAUCUUACAACUAGUAGAAACUGGAAAAAGUAGACUGAAAGUAGAUAUAACUGGUUCGGUGACACCGAACUUUAACACGUAUUAUCUAUUCAUUUAGUCUAUAAACCAACAUGUAAAGUAGACGACAUAAUAGGUUUUUAGCAGAAAAGGGAAACAAAUGGUUCUUCUGAACGGGUUCUACGCGGACCUAAGGUUCUACCGUGUUCUACAGGUUCUACGUGAAACGUUUAAAGGCAUCCUAGAAGGACAACCGAAGAGUGUGUGAUUCUAUACCGCACACGCAUGUCUGACAUUCUAUUUGGCCUAGCCACCAAACAGGGUUUGUUACAAAUAUGACAAUGUGAUCACAUCGAAUCACACACAACAAAUACCCAGCUCAAACGGGGAAAUAUUUACCCUGCUCUGCGUUAAAGACGUACAGAAAUCAGAAUCGAACAUCCGCUUAGCUGGAGUGGAUUCAGUCUUAAUAUACGUACGGAUGACAGCCAGGAACAGAAUUCACGGUGAUAUCGAUAUUAAAUACUAAUAAUAUCGCACAGUCCCUUCGCCUAGGAGUCGUGCAAGCUCCGAAACGAAUCCGACACAAAACGUUGUGAGUAAGAGUAGACGACGUGUCAGGAUUUUUAAGGUUAGGGAAAUGCUUCCUGCUCCAGAGAACACCAAACACCAGAGAUUUAGAAACACACACACACACACACACACACACAAACACACACACACACACACACACGUAUAAUUUCCACCUUGGCGUUCAUGCAGUAUCUAGAACGACUCUUCUCCUCCUGCAGUCAGCUCAUAUCUUCAGCUUCUUGCUCUCACCACUACUUAUCUGUCUUUUUUCCCCCCCACCAUUCUUUCUCCAACACAGUGAACUCUGACCUGAGAGUCUAGGCUCUUUGACCCUGCAUACGCUCCCUCCCCUCCUUUCUCCACCAUGAUGUGAUGAUUGUGGAAUGACCCAGUGUGUGUGUAAAAAAAAAAUUCCACAUCACCAUCCCCUCCCCAUACACAGGAACCUUUCUAUACUCUCCAUACAGGAAAAAGACAUGCUUUUUGCUAUGAUGGAUAAUAAGCGCUACAGACAGAGGAUUAUAGUCAGUUUGAUGAUGAUUUGGAUCAGACACCAGACAAAAAUAAUAAUAAUAAUAAUAAUAAUAAUAAUAAACAAGGUGGAACUGGAGAUCUUUUUAAGCAUGCUUACAGUGAGCUUAGAUUUGUUGGAGAACAUUUUGUUUUUACCCACAGACAAAGUUUCCCUGCUUGGUGUUUGGUCGCACAGGCAAAAGCUGAAGAAAAUGCAUAAAGAAGGACAACAAGGAGAAGUCCCGGGCUGUGAUCGGACCUCUGUAGCUGUUUCAGAUCGGACUUUUGGGACAGAACAUGCUCGAUAUCUUGUUACUAUGUUGUUAUGUAUCGGAUCUCUUCCUUCUGUUACAUCGGAGCGACGUCCAGCGACAUCGGACACCAUUUUAACCAACUCCUUGUUGUGCUUGGCUGUUAAUAGGCUACACACCGCCCAUGUUUGUACACAAAUAAACACUCGGGAUGUGGUUUCAAGUGUCUACAGAGAAAGGACGACUCAGAGAAUGAGGUAAACAAACAAACAAACAAACAAACAAACAAACAACUAACCGAGCAAUGAAACGCUCUCGGGAAGAACUUCCACUCCUGAAAACAGUCAAGAGUCAAGCUCUAAACCCUUCAAAACCCCACCGGAAACCACAAACCUUCCUGUAGAUCCCAUUCAACAGGAAACAAACUUACAUUUUUCGACGUCUGCGUUACUCUUCCUUCGUCCACACGCCGCCUUCAUAGAUCCCAUUCGCGUACUUCCAUUUGGUCAGAUAGCUUCUAGAUUAUUAGUAGUAAAGAGUAAGAAGAGGUAUAUCCGUAGUACGGGGUUUAAAGCCUUUUUAAGAACAAAAAAAAAAACAAACUAAAACAACACACACAAAAAAGGAGUAUUUGGUUGUAACGCAGACGACUUGGCUUGGUUAGACGGAAGAGGAGAAAGCGGUGUUGGACGACAGCGAAGGAGGAAAAAAACCGUUCAGUCUUUAUUCCUGCUAAUUAGUUUCCUGCAAAAAAUGGCUGGAAUUAGCCCAGUGCGCAUGCGCACUAUUACACAGUCACGGCGGGAAGGGCUAAUUAGCUCCUCCUGGAUCAAUGAGAUUGGAG